rnacentral:rRNA from 1 species
UACGUAGGUGGCAAGCGUUGUCCGGAUUUAUUGGGUUUAAAGGGUGCGUAGGCGGCUUUGUAAGUCAGUGGUGAAAUAUGGCAGCUCAACUGUCAAGGUGCCAUUGAUACUGCGGAGCUUGAGUACAGACGAGGUAGGCGGAAUUGACGGUGUAGCGGUGAAAUGCUUAGAUAUCGUCAAGAACACCUAUAGCGAAGGCAGCUUACUAGGCUGUAACUGACGCUGAGGCACGAAAGUGUGGGGAUCAAACAGG